CACGAGUGAGAAGCAGUCCAGACCCUGUGAUAGAUGGAGAAAAAGUGAUAUUAAGCUGUUCAACUGAAUGCACUCUGGAUAACAAACAUACUUACAUCUGGUAUAAGAAUGGACAACAGGUAACAGAUGGAUUGACAUUAUUAAACAAGCUGUACCUGGACUCAAUCAACAGUGAGGAGCUACAAGAGUAUUCCUGUACUGUAAGAGAUACGAUGGACAAAAUAAAUGCUUAAAUACAUAAAACUGUAGGAUACUGAUUAAAACAAGGCUUGGCUUUCUGAAGGUUUGCUACUAUAAAUGUUUUAACACUCUGGGGUCGACGCAAACUCUUUAUUUUUCAAUCACUCUGCAAAGAGACUUAAAUUACUCUGCUGAUUUUUGACAUACAGAUAUGAUUUAUACAUAAUUUAAAACGUUAAAGUGUCUAUUUUUUUCUGUCCACUCCCAAUAAAAACAGAAUGUCGUGCUUUUCACAAAAUUAAGAAAAUAAACAUGAUGCGCGUUUUGUUCUCUCUCCCUCAGUGAAGUCAUUGCAGAAACGCGUCAGAAAAAUAAACUGUAACUUAACGAAUACUUGUCAUAGAAACAAAAGAUAAAUGUCUACAUAAUGCUUGGAAUGUCAGCUUUUGAAUGAUGUAAGUGAGAUCGAAAACAUAUUGUCAUUCGGUGUAAACUGUAUGAGAAGGAGGAGAGAUACCGUCUUUCUCAUGUUACCUGUUUAUCUGUAAUGAGAUGAGAUCGCCACACCCCGCGCCAUUGAAGUGAACGAGUAGAAACAUCCAUAUGCAUAACUCGUGCCUCCUGCAGUCAAUGGAUACAAAAUCCACAAUCCAGUCUCUCCACUCCUUGUUGUUUUAUCCGAGUGCACCAAACAUGACAUCUACUGUAAAUCCUUAUUUACUUGCGUAUGUGUGUCAGUAUCUCCAGACGCGAGUUUGUCUUCGAAUUUGUAAAUCAAUAUAUUGUUUUAUGUGAAUGAGUACACAGACUGAUUUUCACAUCAUUUUGAAGAAAAAACCCUAGACUACUAGAUCCUGUUUUGAAAAGUCUUGGGAAAACAUGUUUAGAAUGAGCGUUGACAAAUGUCAGUGCAUGUCAAAACUUCCCCAGGGCCCUAAAAACCCCUUAGACCCCAGAGGGUUAAUAAAGCUUUUUGGUACCUGCCUUUCUGAGAUAUUUAUCCACAUAUUAUAUUUGUAUUAAGACAUUCACAAUCGUCAGAUAAAUGUUAUCUUUUGAAUAUAUUUCUCUGUUUUAUGUUUUCACUGCAGUAUGUGGUAACACUUUCUAUGAAGUCUGUGUUUAUAAUGCAUUAUUGCAGGCAUAUUCCCU